rfam:Sorghum bicolor cultivar BTx623 chromosome 1, whole genome shotgun sequence.
AUUCCAUGAUGGGGACAUUCUAGGAUGUAGUCUUGGAAGCGCUCCCAUGCCUCUGGAACGGAUUCAUCAUGUUGUUGCUGAAAACUUGAAAUCUUCCCAUGGAGAGC